rnacentral:rRNA from 1 species
AGGAGAGUUUGAUCCUGGCUCAGGAUGAACGCUGGCGGCGUGCCUAACACAUGCAAGUCGAACGGACUUUGCCCGCUGACGAGACUUCGGUCAAAUCUUGGGUAAAGUUAGUGGCGGACGGGUGAGUAACGCGUGGGCAACCUGCCUCAUACUGGGGGAUAACAGUUGGAAACGACUGUUAAUACCGCAUAAGCGCACAGAGUCGCAUGACUCAGUGUGAAAAACUCCGGUGGUAUGAGAUGGGCCCGCGUCAGAUUAGCCAGUUGGCGGGGUAACGGCCCACCAAAGCGACGAUCUGUAGCCGGACUGAGAGGUCGGACGGCCACAUUGGGACUGAGACACGGCCCAAACUCCUACGGGAGGCAGCAGUGGGGGAUAUUGCACAAUGGAGGAAACUCUGAUGCAGCGACGCCGCGUGAGUGAAGAAGUAUUUCGGUAUGUAAAGCUCUAUCAGCAGGGAAGAAAGGCUCGUAAGAGAGAUGACGGUACCUGACUAAGAAGCCCCGGCUAACUACGUGCCAGCAGCCGCGGUAAUACGUAGGGGGCAAGCGUUAUCCGGAUUUACUGGGUGUAAAGGGAGCGCAGACGGUUAUGCAAGUCUGAAGUGAAACCCCACGGCUCAACCGUGGGCUUGCUUUGGAAACUGUAUAACUAGAGUACUGGAGAGGUAAGCGGAAUUCCUAGUGUAGCGGUGAAAUGCGUAGAUAUUAGGAGGAACAUCGGUGGCGAAGGCGGCUUACUGGACAGCAACUGACGUUGAGGCUCGAAGGCGUGGGGAGCAAACAGGAUUAGAUACCCUGGUAGUCCCCU